rnacentral:lncRNA from 1 species
ACAACAUAGAAUAGAUAGGAGAGAGAAUCUCUCAACAAGUGACAGGAUCAACAUCGUAGCUUAAUAUCAUAUUCUAUCAACAGCUUGAAAAAGCCUUUACUAUGUCUUUCUAUUGACUUUUUGAAAACCAAACAAAUGAAAAACAGCACCUGUCCUAGAAAUGCAGACUCUACAAACAGCAGCAGCCCAUUAAAUUGUAUGUGGGUGACAAAAUGACCAGAGAUUAGGAAAAAUCAGGUCAUCUUCAAUUUAUCAGUUCACUGGUCUCUAGGUGUCAACACUCCUGAUAGGUUUAUUAAGCCAACAACCAGUCUUGCAAUCCACUAGUUACAUAUCUUCAAAUUUCUUGUGCUGAAAUGUGUAAUUAAUAGUGUCUGGUUGUUACAUUAUUUGUUCUGCAGUCACGAGGGCUAAUUCAUUUCCACAUUCUAGUUAGCUAGCCUGGGAAUGUCUGUAUAUGUUGAUCAUCUAAUGUUAAGCAACUGUGUUAGUGCCAUUUAGAGGCACACAAAAGACUUGUAACCUUUUUAAUCAGCCAAAAAAAAAAUCUGUUCCUGUAAGUACUUUAAAACAGCUGACCUCAAUGCAAGCAAUUGCAUGAGUCCAAAGGAAAACAAAGAGAAGAUGGCUGGAAAUUCUAACAAUCUUGUCAUCGUCUCACAAUUCUUGAUGUUACUGUAACCCUUCCAGAAAUACACAGAAUACAGAAAUGAAAAUCAGGCAAGUGCAAACAGGUGUGUGGUGUAUUCCAAACCAUUGUCAAUAUCCUGGUUACUGAGUUGGAAUCCCAAACGGCCCCGAACCCUGUGACCUCAGUGCUCACAGUGCUCCCUGAGUCAACUCCAUAGGAACCAUUAUUGCCAACUUCAUUAUCAAUGGGGUCACUUAUGCAUCAAGACAACAUUCACCCUGCUUUUGGAAAUGGCUUUGGUCUUCUCGUUGGCUGGGGAAAACAACUAAGGAUAAACCAAGAAAAAUAUGAGAAUACAGAGGAGAAAAAUAGGAGAGAAUAUUGUUUUGGAUUAUAUGAUCACACAGCAGUGGGACUAUGCUAAGCUUAUCAUAAGUGCAGGGAAAGAAGAGGAAGUUACUGAAUGUGCCCCUUUAAAGCUCACAGCUUUGACCUGAGAAAACAAAUCAGCCUGUUAUUCUGAAGGUAUUUAUUUUACCCUAAGAAAUAC